rnacentral:rRNA from 1 species
GCCUACAGCCAUACCACCCUGAACACGCCCGAUCUCGGAAGCUAAGCAGGGUCGGGCCUGGUUAGUAGGCUUGAGCGAUCCACGAAAAAAUUGAUUCUAAACUCU